rnacentral:rRNA from 2 species
UGGCUAAUACAUGCAAGUCGAGCGGAUGAGAAGAGCUUGCUCUUCGAUUCAGCGGCGGACGGGUGAGUAAUGCCUAGGAAUCUGCCUGGUAGUGGGGGACAACGUUUCGAAAGGAACGCUAAUACCGCAUACGUCCUACGGGAGAAAGCAGGGGACCUUCGGGCCUUGCGCUAUCAGAUGAGCCUAGGUCGGAUUAGCUAGUUGGUGAGGUAAUGGCUCACCAAGGCGACGAUCCGUAACUGGUCUGAGAGGAUGAUCAGUCACACUGGAACUGAGACACGGUCCAGACUCCUACGGGAGGCAGCAGUGGGGAAUAUUGGACAAUGGGCGAAAGCCUGAUCCAGCCAUGCCGCGUGUGUGAAGAAGGUCUUCGGAUUGUAAAGCACUUUAAGUUGGGAGGAAGGGCAUUAACCUAAUACGUUAGUGUUUUGACGUUACCGACAGAAUAAGCACCGGCUAACUCUGUGCCAGCAGCCGCGGUAAUACAGAGGGUGCAAGCGUUAAUCGGAAUUACUGGGCGUAAAGCGCGCGUAGGUGGUUUGUUAAGUUGGAUGUGAAAGCCCCGGGCUC